rnacentral:rRNA from 1 species
GGUAUGGUAUUGGCUUACCGUGGCAGUGACGGUUAACGGGGGAUUAGGGUUCGAUUCCGGAGAGGGAGCCUGAGAAACGGCUACCACAUCUAAGGAAGGCAGCAGGCGCGCAAAUUACCCAAUUCUAACAGCAUAAGAGAGGUAGUGACAAGAAAUAACAAUACAAGGCAUUUAAAAUGCUUUGUAAUUGGAAUGAUAGAAAUUUAAACACUUUUUAAAGUAUCAAUUGGAGGGCAAGUCUGGUGCCAGCAGCCGCGGUAAUUCCAGCUCCAAUAGCGUAUAUUAAAAUUGUUGCAGUUAAAAAGCUCGUAGUUGAAUUUCUGUUAAAAAUAACCGGUCUGCUUUUAACAAAAGUGGUAUCUUGGUGUGUUUUUAGCAAUAAUGUCCUUUGAAAUGUGUUUUACUUUGUUGUAAAAGACAAUAUUCAGGAUUUUUACUUUGAGAAAAUUAGAGUGUUUCUAGCAAGCUAAUGUUUUGAAUACUGCAGCAUGGAAUAAUAAAAUAGAAUUUUAGUUCUACAUUGUUGGUUUUAAGAGCUGAAUUAAUGAUUGAUAGGGACAGUUGGGGGCAUUUGUAUUUAACUGUCAGAGGUG